ensembl:lncRNA
GCCAGUUGUCAUCACUGUUUGAUUGAUCAUGUUCAUCUGCAUGUCAUUGUGGUGUCAUAACGUUAGCCCUCUUUGUGUGAAUUUCAAAAGUCUUUCCUUAACUCUUUGCGUCCUCUGUCCUCACCUUGGUUGUUUUCAAAUCUGUCCGCUCCACAAAGACAUACAGCUGAGAAUGAUCAAUCAAUAAGCCAGUGAUUGGAUGGCAACUGCAGGUUCAGGCAAUAAAUACACACCACGCUGGUAUGUCAACUAAGCAUGGCAGUAAGGCACUGAGAGUAUUGGAGUAUUGCUUUGUCUGGGCUGUUGGUGGUUUAAGGCUUUGAUAUGGCUUUUGGAAUUAAUUUGGGGAUUGUGUUCCUUUGCUCAUUGUUUGCAGAACACUCAAGUUUUACAUGGGCUCCACGUGAUGCCCAGAGAGUAAGAGGCUAUGGGUUUUCUGGCUCUUCCAGAAUGGAAGUUGAGCAGAGGCAAACAGGUGGCAGCUAUCCCCAGGAUCAAUUCAGACCAGCCUCUCACACUUCUGGUUCGGUCCAGAGUGAAGCUACUUACCGCGGGACUGGAUACAACACACUCGGAGGCUUUGCUCCAAGCUCCCUCCAGCCAUCCCCAAGGGGCUCUGGAUCUAUCCCCAGCAGUUUUACCUCCGCCCAGACAAAGGGUAAGAGGACCCGUGCCAAGAAUACUGACAUUAGCCUCUCUGGUUCUAUAGCCAGUGGAUCCUCUUUCACCCACAACAAGCAUCAAACCAAGGCCAGCAGAACCUAUGGUCAAAGUGUCACUGACCCCAGUGCAUUAAGGCCAGUUUCAAGUUGGGAGGUAAAGAGAAUCCAGGCCAACACUCUUCGUACUGUACAGCCUCACUCCGGCAGCUCUGGACUAGUCCAGAAUCCUGAUGUUGUGUUUAAUGUCCAGAGUAGAACUGCCUCUAACCUGAAACCAUCUACUCCUAACUAUGGCUCUACCCAGAGUGAAUUCAAGUUCUCCACCUCCAGACAACCCAACCAAAGCCUUGUCCAGACUCGGAGUAGAGGAGCCCCAAGCCUCUAUGGUCAAACUGCCUCCCUCACCCACUAUGUCCAGGACCUGAAGCAAGGGAGCAGCUUCCCUUCCUUGGCUUUCAAGGGACCAAUGGAGAUCUCUGCCCGGUCAAUUUCCACUCCUGACCGUGAAGUUCCCUCAAGUGGUUCUUCACAAACUUCAUUUAGACCAGGUCCUCUGAGUUUUGGUUCUACUGAAGGUGGGAGUGCAACAAAAAGCUACAAGCCUAGCUUCUCCCAAGAUGUCAUGCAAUACCAGAGCAACUCUGCCAGUAGAAGUGUUUCAACUUCCAAUCAAUAUGCCCAAACCUCUGGCCAGAGAAUAGAUGGAGCCUCUACCUCAAGUCGCGGCAUGCCUACUUCUAGCCUGGCCUCUCGCUCCAGUCUUUUUCACCCCAGCUCUACAGCUAGUGGAAACUCCUAUGGCGCCUACAAGCCUGGCUCUGACCUUGGUGCAACACCAAGCCAAAGCCUGUUUACCUCUAACCAAGGUGGAAGGGGUUCAACAUACAGCCAGAAUCUCCUUGCAAAACCUGCCCAAGGGAAGUACGGACAAAUGUCUGCUCAGUGGGGGAGCUACAGGCCCAGCUAUUUGUUCAAUGCAGUGAAAUCCAACACUAGCUCUGCCAGACGUCCCACCCAGAGCUUCUUGUCUAGCAGCUAUGGCCCUACCCAGAGCAGGACCAGCAGUGCCAGCUCGAUCAACCUUCGGCGCUUUGGCCUGACCAUCAUGCACAGCAUCCCAGAAUUGUACGGCGGCUCUACAAUCCACCGGCUCAAAGACCCUACUCGGUAGGAGUAGUGCCUCCCCUAGCCACUCAACCCAGCUCUUCAAUUGUCAGCAAGCCACGGCCUAGCCACGGCCUAACCACUAUCUGCCAAGCAGAAAGGCCCUAGCACAACCUAAAUUGAGUCCAGAGCUUUAGGGGAGUCCAGAACAUGACAAAGUGGGAUCUGUAGCCACCAGUUGAGGUGCUGUGACCUGGAAGUGUUGUCAGGACUUCUCUACUUCAAUUGUUUUAAAUAAAAUUUACUAAUACAUAUUAGUCUUUAUCUAAGUGUUUUCAGACAAAUGUUUUGAAUGCCUUCAAAGGGAUGUCAGUGUUGUGGUAAUUAGGUUGCUUGUUCCAGUAGAAGAAAUGUUGGCUCUCUGGCAUUUGACAGGAUAUUUUGCAUCACUGGACCUCUGCACUCAAUGAGCCUGAAUCAGAGUUUUGGGCCUGAUGCCCUUAAUAUUAAUGGUGACUCUAAUGCACUUGCUUUCUAUGUCACUAAACCCUCUGAAAGUUCUCUGAAGUAUUUCAUUAACCCCCCCCUCUCCAAAAAAGUAAAUGAACAUUUUUCUCCUCCCAAAUUUGGGUCGUUUUUUUUUUCGCUGUCCCGGUAAAUCCCACAAGAGGGCGAGUGGAAUCAUAUUGCAAAUGUACAAAACAUCACCAAUCACGACGUGGCCUUAUCUCCUAAACGGAAAAGACUUAAGACGACACUUGGUGAGCAUAGGUUUGGCAUAAUGGGCAGUUGGCCCCGAACAAGAUGGCGUCCAGGCCUCAAUGGGAUUAAAGGUCAAAAAUGAAAAUAGAGCAAUUUCUCCGCUUCAUGUCAAAGUAAAUGAACCUACGGUGUCAAUAAAAAAAGAACCAGCGAUUUAGCCAGCCAGAAAUCUUUUUAAGUUACAGAUCCAGUUGCAG